UACGGGGGGGGCAAGCGUUGUUCGGAAUUACUGGGCGUAAAGGGCUCGUAGGUGGCCAACUCAGUCGGACGUGAAAUCCCUCGGCUUAACCGGGGAACUGCGUCCGAUACUGGAUGGCUUGAGAUCGGGAGAGGGAUGCGGAAUUCCAGGUGUAGCGGUGAAAUGCGUAGAUAUCUGGAGGAACAUCGGUGGCGAAGGCGACAUCCUGGACCGGUAUUGACGCUGAGGCGCGAAAGCCAGGGGAGCAAACGGG
rnacentral:rRNA from 1 species